UUAUUAUACCCUAGAGCAAGAAACUUAAUCGAAUUUGACUUCACAAUCCUCACAGGAAUCCCACCAGUCAACUGAUUAAAAGUCAAAUUGACCCUAAAAAGCUUAGAACAAUUAGCAAGACUUUCAGGAAUCCCACCAGUCAACAAAUUAUUACUCAAAUCAAUACUCUGAAUCAAAGGACACAACCCCAAAGAAGCAGGAAUUGAGCCAGUAAACUUAUUAUUAAACAACUGAAGGCCUCUUAAGUUAGGUAAAAGCCCCAAUUCUUUAGGGAUUGAGCCAGUGAUAAUAUUAUUAUGGAGGCUGAGUUUUCUAAGGGCUUGAAAUUGGCCAAUUUUGGUUGUGAUUUGACCACCAAGCCCUCGGAAAGGUAGCUGAAUUACGAUGACUUGCCCCUGGGCGCAUUUGAUGCCUUGCCAGCCGCCGGAACAGGCGCCGUAGCCGCUGUCGUUCCAGGAUUUGAGGAAGCCGUUUGGGUCGAUUAAGGAUUGUUUGAAGGAUUGGAGGGCUUGGAAAUCGGCUUCGGUUACGAUGAUGCCGUCCCAUGAUUGGGUGGAGGAUUGUGGUGAGAUUUGGAGUCUUUUUGGGGGUGUGUUUGGACUCCAUUGGAGAGUGAGGAAGAAGAAGAUGAAAUGA
rnacentral:lncRNA from 1 species